UACGUAGGGUGCAAGCGUUGUCCGGAAUUAUUGGGCGUAAAGAGCUCGUAGGCGGUCUGUCACGUCGGCUGUGAAAUCCCGAGGCUCAACCUCGGGUCUGCAGUCGAUACGGGCAAACUAGAGUAUUGCAGGGGAGACUGGAAUUCCUGGUGUAGCGGUGAAAUGCGCAGAUAUCAGGAGGAACACCGGUGGCGAGGGCGGGUCUCUGGGCAAUAACUGACGCUGAGGAGCGAAAGCGUGGGGAGCGAACAGG
rnacentral:rRNA from 1 species